GAUGAACGCUGGCGGCGUGCCUAAUACAUGCAAGUCGAGCGAACAGACGAGGAGCUUGCUCCUCUGACGUUAGCGGCGGACGGGUGAGUAACACGUGGAUAACCUACCUAUAAGACUGGGAUAACUUCGGGAAACCGGAGCUAAUACCGGAUAAUAUAUUGAACCGCAUGGUUCAAUAGUGAAAGACGGUUUUGCUGUCACUUAUAGAUGGAUCCGCGCCGCAUUAGCUAGUUGGUAAGGUAACGGCUUACCAAGGCAACGAUGCGUAGCCGACCUGAGGGGGUGAUCGGCCACACUGGAACUGAGACACGGUCCAGACUCCUACGGGAGGCAGCAGUAGGGAAUCUUCCGCAAUGGGCGAAAGCUUGACGGAGCAACGCCGCGUGAGUGAUGAAGGUCUUCGGAUCGUAAAACUCUGUUAUUAGGGAAGAACAAAUGUGUAAGUAACUAUGCACGUCUUGACGGUACCUAAUCAGAAGGCCACGGCUAACUACGUG
rnacentral:rRNA from 1 species